ACUGCGGCACUGGCAGGGCUGGUGACAGCACCACCCCCGCGCCGCCUGCAAUCUGCCACCGCUGCCACCGAGCCGAGGGGCGCCAGCAAGGCAUCCCCUGGGUCAAGGGGCCUCCCGUGGGCUUUCCAAACAGCCUGUGCUCAUUUCCGCGGGAGCCCUCGGGGCGCUGUGCUGUGGCUGCAUUGUCACUGUUUGUUUAUUUCUACAUCUGCUCUGUUAGAAGAUAGGCUCGCUUAGGACAGAGCCUUCUAAUCCACCCCCUGAUGAAUUCGGGCCCUCGCCUUUGGCACAAUGCCUGGCGUCAUCACAACGCGGGUGAUCAGUAAACGGCAGCGAAGGAAGCGGGGUCAGGACUGGAGAGGAGAGGGGGAGGAAGACAGACGACCGGAGAGGAACAAAAAUGGAAGGCAGUGUUUCAAGAACCCAGCUCCAUUCAUCCUAUGAUGCCACCAUCCUCAGCAUUUGACUUCCAUGGCUCCUAUGAUGUCUCGCUAUGUUGCCCAGGCUGGGCUUGAACUCCGGGACUCAAGGGAUCCUCCCACCUCAGCCUCUUGAGUAGCUGAGAUUACAAAGAGCACAGAAGCUUUCAGGGUGGAGAGUCAGGACAGGUUCUAUGGACAUAUGGAGCUCCCAGGGGGGCUUGUGCAGGACUCAAGGAAAUGUCCAGCUUAACCUGCUGGGCACAACAAUUUUGCUGCUUCAACCCAUCUGCUAUGGAAAAUGAGGAGCCAACAAAAAAGGGAGAAACAGAGGUGAAGGCACCUGAUAAUGAAAGCUUUAAGAAAGGGAAGGGGUAAGUACAUGCCGUCAGGUGAACCCAGAAGUCAAUAAAGAUGAAAAGUCCUUUGGACCAUGACCAAGAGAUUAUUGAUGCAAUCUGCUGAUGUCUUAGAAUGUGCCUUGCCUAGGCUGGUGCCUGUGAGCUGGCAGAAGUGUGAUGCCCUUCUCCGCUAGUAUCAAUAAAAUCGCACGAGAUAUUCUUGCCCCAUUCCCAGGUAUAUCCUGAGUCAUUCAUUUCAACCCAGCUUAAC
rnacentral:lncRNA from 1 species